CAAUAGCGAAUCUUAAUGUUGUUGCUAUUAAAAAGCUCGUAGUCGAAUUUCUGGCCGGGAAAAGCCGAUCUAACCGCGCUGCUCCUAGGUCAUCCGUCUUUGAGGGCAUGUAGGUAUUUGUUUAUCUCGUGUCGGAUCUGGCAUUUUACUUUGAAAAAAUUAGAGUGUUCAAAGCAGGCAUUGGCUUGAAUACAUUAGCAUGGAAUAAUAGAAUAGGACUUUGGUUCUAUUUUGUUGGUUUCUAGGACCGAAGUAAUGAUUAAUAGGGACAGUUGGGGGCAUUAGUAUUUAAUUGUCAGAGGUGAAAUUCUUGGAUUUAUGAAAGACUAACUACUGCGAAAGCAUUUGCCAAGGAUGUUUUCAUUAAUCAAGAACGAAAGUUAGGGGAUCGAAGACGAUUAGAUACCAU
rnacentral:rRNA from 1 species